UCCUUAGCCCUGGUUCAUGUCUUCACUGC
rnacentral:piRNA from 1 species